GGCGCAAGCCUGAUGCAGCCAUGCCGCGUGUGUGAAGAAGGCCUUCGGGUUGUAAAGCACUUUCAGUCGUGAGGAAGGUGGUGUAGUUAAUAGCUGCAUUAUUUGACGUUAGCGACAGAAGAAGCACCGGCUAACUCCGUGCCAGCAGCCGCGGUAAUACGGAGGGUGCGAGCGUUAAUCGGAAUUACUGGGCGUAAAGCGCAUGCAGGUGGUUUGUUAAGUCAGAUGUGAAAGCCCGGGGCUCAACCUCGGAAUAGCAUUUGAAACUGGCAGACUAGAGUACUGUAGAGGGGGGUAGAAUUUCAGGUGUAGCGGUGAAAUGCGUAGAGAUCUGAAGGAAUACCGGUGGCGAAGGCGGCCCCCUGGACAGAUACUGACACUCAGAUGCGAAAGCGUGGGGAGCAAACAGGAUUAGAUACCCUGGUAGUCCACGCCGUAAACGAUGUCUACUUGGAGGUUGUGGCCUUGAGCCGUGGCUUUCGGAGCUAACGCGUUAAGUAGACCGCCUG
rnacentral:rRNA from 1 species